CCUACGGGAGGCAGCAGUAGGGAAUCUUCCACAAUGGGCGCAAGCCUGAUGGAGCAACGCCGCGUGAGUGAAGAAGGUCUUCGGAUCGUAAAACUCUGUUGUUAGAGAAGAACAUGCGGGAGAGUAACUGUUCUUGUAUUGACGGUAUCUAACCAGAAAGCCACGGCUAACUACGUGCCAGCAGCCGCGGUAAUU
rnacentral:rRNA from 1 species